rnacentral:lncRNA from 1 species
CAGACCUUGGGAGAGUGUGAAGCCGGGAGAGUGUCAAACCAUCACGUCCGUCGCCGUGGUUCUCGGGGGUUCGCCCGCGUGCGUGGGUCAUGCACGUAGGAUUUGCCGGAACACGUGAGGCUGUGGUCACGAGGUAAUUUCUCGUCGGAGACUCGGAGUGUAUACAACGUCACCAAUCUGCCUAGCGACAUGAGCCGACUCCGCCUCAACGUCACAGUCGGUAAGGUUCCCUCCUCCAUGGUUACGUUCUGCUUCGUUACACGUAGCGCGUUCCGGUGGGAAAAGUAGUGGCAGAAGACCCGAGUUCGCCGUAUGCCGAUAAUGCGUCGUCAUCUCCGGUGGGCGGCGGCGCCCUCUGGCCAGCCAUGAGGAAGAUGGCACACGAGUGCCAUUGGAUCUCAAACAGAUGAAUGAGAUUAGGAGACGCAAAUACUCGUUCGUGAUUUAGAUCUCUACACUUGAUCAGCGAUCGGGCGGUUUGGGAUAGAUCUCGAGUUCUCGACCCAUCUAUUUUAACCCGUAGCCGUUGGAUCGCAAUCCGACGGCUGCUGUCGUGUAUUGAUCUAGGAUAAUGAUGAUUUAAUCUUGGUCGUCCAUCUCAGAUCGUGCGGCCCUAAGCGAGGGAUACCCCUUCAGCGUAACCGUUUUGCAUAUUAGCCCCUGGGAAAUCCAAGUAUAGAACCCACCAUCCAUGCACUUUAGGAUUCAUUACAGACAUGUCCUAUUUUAAACAAAACAACCCCUGAACCCUCUAGUAUUUGUGCCCGCGUCCAAAGGGUUAACAGAUUUUAUGAUAUUAAAUCAGAAAUUAAAUUUUUAGGAUAAAAAUAAUCUUAGAAACUUAGAAAAAUCAUAUCUACUCCAUUUUAACUCCAAUUUUAGUGAUUCUCAAACCAACGAACUCGUGCCGUCGUGUAGAAUAUCAUUACACAAUUUGUUCUCAUACUUUGGUGUAAUGUUAUCAUAUACAUUAUUUGUUUAUUUGUAUGUAUUGCUGCGACAGAAAACGAGGUCAUGAGGCACCUAGAUCCCACAUUGGAGAAGUACCUGGAGUUGCACCAAAAAGACAAGUUGUGCCCUUGAUCACUUUUCUUUACCUAACAAUGUUCUCGAUAAUCACCGUGACAUGAUCAGGUUAAUUUGAAGGGACCUAAUAGGUUACCCUAGUAUUGUCUACCCUACACCUUGCAAACAAAUUAACAAUUAGGUAGUUUAUUAUCGCUCUACAAGAUUUUGGCAUUAAUGUUACAUCUGAAUUAUGAUCAUGCCUUAUAAUUAUUAUGGAUUAUUUAUUGAUCAUGAUAAUAUCAUUUUGUUAAUUGAAACAUGGAGAACCACCUAGAAAAAUUGUGCUACCACAAGGGUGGUAUGGGACGCCCUUGGUUGACUAAUUAGGAAAUCUAGUGGAGGACUACCUUACCCAAAAGGGGCAAGGGUGGUAUGAGGAUCUACCUGUACAGGGAGGUUCUCAGGUCGAUCAUGGUGCAAUGGCAUUUUAGACGAGGGAUUCCUAUAUCGCCCCCUUCUCAAGAAACUGUAGCGGGUUUUCUAAAGAUAGUGGAACUUUGUAAAGGCCUCGUAGUGCUACCCUGCCUCGUCUCCUCGGUAGAGAUGAAUGGUAUUUCUAGACCCCUUGGCAAAUGGAUAACAUGACUUGUGGGUAAAGAUGUGCAACCUCUGUAUUGUUUCUCAUGGUCAUGAGCGGUUCGGACCCUCACAUGAGUAAUUUAUGGAAUUAAACUUAAUCUGUCAUAUGUAUUGCAUUGUGGGAUUUGCAAUUAAUUGUGAUCAAUUAUUUAAUUAGGUUGGUAUACACUUUUACUUAGUAAUUGCUAAUAAAAUUUUGACCAACUUAUUAAAAGCAAAGCUCCUUGGUAAGCCUUACACUUCACAUGAGCCCCCACCGUAAGUGAUCUCAUGCACAUUAUUCCCCACAACUUGUUAAGCGAUGGACGUAUGUGAGCUCACUCUUGCUAAACUCACACUAGGUCAAAAACGGAUUCCACCAAGAUGAGGACCAUGAAGGAUGCUAUGAUGAGUUCGGAGAGGUCUAGGCCGUCGUGUCCCAGUCAACUAUGGCUGCAGAGGAUCGUUGUCGUCACAUGAUGUAUUUAUUUAGCUAUUUUG